rnacentral:rRNA from 1 species
UUAAAAAGCUCGUAGUUGGAUCAGAGUUCGACAGUGCAAGGUGGCCUCGCUUGCUCAUUUGGCUCCGGUCAUGUGUGCGGCGGCGGAUCAACCCCUUGCGCCAAACUGUCGUCUCUAACAGACCGAAGCGGUUCCCUGUGAGUAGGCCACUUAAUUGGGGCUGAAAGCGUUUACGCAUUAACCACAUGCAUACGGGACAUCGGUCAAAGUUACUGUGAACAAACCAGCGUGUCCAAAACAGGCUUUGCCUGAAUGUUCGAGCAUGGAAUAACAAGGGAUCGAUUCUCUCGGUUCUUUUUGUUGGUUUUUAACCCGAGAAGGAGUAAUUCAGGCCAAGGUGUCUGGGCUGGGUUCCCCUUACCUUCGGGUAAGGCCCCAGUUAAGGCCUUGUCCUUACGGGAUAAAUAGGGACUGACGGGGUCGUACGUACUUCCCCGUCAGAGGUGAAAUUCUUAGAUCCUGGG